rnacentral:tRNA from 4 species
CGCGGAGUGGAGCAGUCUGGUAGCUCGUCGGGCUCAUAACCCGAAGGUCGUAGGUUCAAAUCCUGCCUCCGCAACCA